AGACUAUAUGAAGAAUGACUUGGGGUAC
rnacentral:piRNA from 1 species